UCAUCAUGCCCUUUAUGUCCUGGGCUACACACGUGCUACAAUGGUUGGUACAGAGGGAAGCUAUAUAGUGAUAUAGUGCAAAACUCCAAAGCCAAUCCCAGUUCGGAUUGUAAGGCUGCAACUCGCCUACAUGAAGUCGGAGUUGCUAGUAAUCGCGGAUCAGAAUGUCGCGGUGAAUGCGUUCCCGGGUCUUGUACACACCGCCCGUCACACCAUGGGAGUUGAUAAUACCCGAAGCCUGUGACCUAAUUGAGGAGCAGUCGAAGGUAGGAUUGAUGACUGGGGUGAAGUCGUAACAAGGUAGCCGUAUCGGAA
rnacentral:rRNA from 1 species